GGCUUAAUAGCUCAGUUGGUAGAGCAACGGACUGAAGAUCCGUGUGUCAGUGGUUCGAGACCUCUUUAAGCCA
rnacentral:tRNA from 1 species